CAGAUGCUGGUGAACCUUAGAGGUUGGGAGAGUAAAAAGUCAUCAUGUCUGUACCAGAGUCUGAGGAUGCCUUUUCAGAUGUUAAGCCUUACUUCACACCUGAGGAAUGGACAAAGAUCAGCAAUUAUGAAAGAAUCUGUAUCAAGAAUGUCAAAGAAAACUAUGAGAUCAUGUUGAAAGCUGGAUUACAGGCCUGUCUACCCAUGUUCAUGCAACGAGAGAAUGAAAUAAUGGAUUCAGGAUGGAUACAGAUCAAAGAAGAAAUCAAGAAUGAGGAAGAAGAGAGUGAUAUCAAGAGUGAAGAAGGAUCUCUCGAUGUGCUGGUUGAGAAUCAAGAAAUUCAAGAACAAGAUCAGACAGAGGAGCAACCAUCAUAUGAAGAGAGUUUUCAACCACAUACUAUAAAAAUAGAAGCUCUUUCUGAUGACGAUGAUGAUUAUUUUUUGAAUGAUCUUCACAGUGGAGAAGAGUGGAACAGUGAUAUUCUCAAAUUGAAGGACUUGGGGAAAGCCAUCCAAUCACAGAGCAGUCUGUCUGAUCAGGAAAAUCAGUCAGGUGAUCUCAACACUCAGUCAUGUGAUCAGAAGUCAGAACAAUCAUCGGCAGAAGUAGCAGCAGGAGGCAACCAGACUCCUAAGCGAUCAGGUGAUCUCAACACUCAGUCAUGUGAUCAGAAGUCAGAACAAUCAUCGGCAGAAGUAGCAGCAGGAGGCAACCAGACUCCUAAGCAAUCAGGUGAUCUCAACACUCAGUCAUGUGAUCAGAAGUCAGAACAAUCAUCGGCAGAAGUAGCAGCAGGAGGCAACCAGACUCCUAAGCAAUCAGGUGAUCUCAACACUCAGUCAUGUGAUCAGAAGUCAGAACAAUCAUCGGCAGAAGUAGCAGCAGGAGGCAACCAGACUCCUAAGCAAUCAGGUGAUCUCAACACUCAGUCAUGUGAUCAAAAGUCAGAACAAUCAUUGGCAGAAGUAGCAGCAGGAGGCAACCAGACUCCUAAGCGAUCAGGUGAUCUCAACACUCAGUCAUGUGACCUCAACACUCAGUCAUGUGACCUCAACACUCAGUCACAUGAUCUCAGCAAUCAGUCAUGUGCUCAAAAGUCUGAUCAAGCCUUGACAGAAAUAGCUCCAGGUAGUCUGAUUUCUAAGGAAUCACGUGAUCUCAACAAUCAGUCAUGUGAUCUCAACAGUCUAUCAGGUGAUCCUGACAUUCAGUCAUGUGAUCAGAGUUCAGAGCAAACCUUGACAAAAGUAGGUCCAGCAAGCAACCAGAUUCCUGAGAAACCUCAAUCUUGUCUGGAAGUUGGCGGGCAAUUUGACGGGCAAGCUGAUAGAAAGUCUCAUUCUCUCUUGGGUGCAGAUGAGCUCAGCGAUAUUCCAUUUUCUACGAAAGAAGAGCCUGAAGCAGAUCAGGCUGAACAUGAUACUGGCAAUGACGAUGAUCCAGAGAAACUAUGGUGUAUAUGCAGACAGCCUUAUGACGAAAAGUUCAUGAUAUGCUGUGAUAAAUGUGAAGAUUGGUUUCAUGGCAAAUGUGUAAACGUCAAGAAGAAAGAAGGAAAGCGCAUGGAAAGGGAGAAUAUUAGCUGGAUGUGUCCAAAGUGUACUGAUUCUGGAAUCUAUAGAUGCAAGUAUUGUGGAUCACUCUAUGCCAUUCCUCUUGUCUUAGCAAGGCAUCUCAAGUACAAACAUGGGUUGUCCGGCAUUUUCCUAUUAGAAGUUGGAUCAGGGGGAGACAUUCUAAAAUAUAGUGGAGCAAUAAAGGAAACCUCUGACAAUAUUAAUGAACAUGAGGUUGAUGACAUCAGAACUUUGAAAUCAGAAACACCAAACCAGAAUAGGCCACAGACUACAUCAUAUGAAUUAUCGUACCUUGUAAGACGCAAGCAAGCCCGAAGACGUAACAAGCCCUAUAAAGUGAACAUAUGCAGCAAGGCUUUUAGUCAUGGUAAGAGGCUCACAAAACACAAACGAAUCCAUCGGGGCAAAAAACCUUAUCAUAAGGCAUCUAGUAAUAACAGUUCUUCAAAAGGUCAUAAAAGAAUUAAAACACAAGAAAAGCCUUAUGCCUGUGAUGAAUGUGGUAAGGCAUUUUGUGAAAAAAGUUAUCUCACAAUCCAUAAACGAACUCACACUGGUGAAAAACCUUAUGCAUGCAAUGAAUGUGGUAAGACAUUUAUUAGCCAAAGACAUCUCACAAUCCAUAAACGAACUCACACUGAUGAAAAACCUUAUGUCUGUGAUGAAUGUGGUAAGACAUUUAAAGCUAAAAUUAGUCUCACAGUCCAUAAACGAACUCACACAGGUGAAAAGCCUUAUGAAUGUGAUCAAUGUGGUAAGACAUUUAGGAAUAGAGGUUCUUUAAAAUAUCAUAAAAUAAUCCAUUCGGAGAAGAAGCCCUAUGAAUGUGACCAAUGUGGGAAGGCCUUUAUUUCUGGUACUGCAUUUAAAAUACACACUAGAAUCCACACAGGUGAAAGGCCUUAUGAAUGUGAAGAAUGUGGUGAGACAUUUAUUGACCAUCCCAAGUUAAAAAGGCAUAAACAGAUCCAUACAGGUGAGAAGCCAUAUGUUUGUGAUCAGUGUGACAAAGCAUAUCGUUGUAAAUGGGUUCUAAAAGAUCAUAAACAAAUCCAUACAGGUGAGAAGCCCUUUAUUUGUGAUCAGUGUGGUAAGGCCUUUAGUAGAAAACAAAGUCUCAAACAGCAUAAACUAACCCAUAUGGAUGAAAAGCCUUAUGUAUGUGAUCAGUGUGGUAAAGCCUUUCGUUGUGGUACUGCAUUUACAAAACACACUAGAAUCCACACAGGUGAAAGGCCUUUUGAAUGUGAAGAAUGUGAUAAGGCAUUUAUUGACAGUAAAACUUUAAAAAGGCAUAAACAGAUCCAUACAGAUGAGAUGCCAUAUAUUUGUGAUCAGUGUGGUAAGGAAUUUCGUAGAAAACAGGCUUUACAAACUCACAAACUUAUCCACACAGGUGAGACACCCUACACAUGUGAUCAGUGUGACAAAGCAUUUCGUUGUAAAUGGUUUCUAAAAAAACAUAAACAAAUCCAUACAGGUGAGAAGUUUCUUUGUGAUCAGUGUGGUAAGGCCUUCAAUCAAAAAAGAAAUCUCAAAAAACAUUUACUAACCCAUACGGAUGAAAAGCCUUAUGUAUGUGAUGAUUGUGGUAAAGCAUUUUCUAUUAUACAUUAUUUGAGGAGUCAUAAACGAAUCCAUGUCAAUGAGAAGCCUUACAAAUGUGAUGAUUGUGGUAAGACCUUUGAUUUUCAAAGAGAAUUGUACAUACAUUAUAGAAUCCAUACAGGUGAGAAGCCAUACAUUUGUUAGAAAUGAGGUAAGGGAUUUAGUGUUAUUGGUUAUCUAUCUAAACAUCUGAAACAAGUCCAUAAAGGUGAGGAGCCUUGAUUUGGUAAGGCAUUUAAUAAAAAUGUUGCUCUGUAACAAAUCCACACAGGUGAGACACCCUACACAUGUGAUCAGUGUGACAAAGCAUUUCAUUGUAAAUGGUUUCUAAAAAAACAUAAACAAAUCCAUACGGGUGAGAAGUUUCUUUGUGAUCAGUGUGGUAAGGCCUUCAAUCAAAAAAGAAAUCUCAAAAAACAUUUACUAACCCAUACGGAUAAAAAGCCUUAUGUAUGUGAUCAGUGUGGUAAAGCAUUUUCUAUUAUACGUUAUUUGACGAGUCAUAAACGAAUCCAUGUCAAUGAGAAGCCUUACAAAUGUGAUGAUUGUGGUAAGACCUUUGAUUUUCAAAGAGAAUUGAAAAUACAUUAUAGAAUCCAUACAGGUGAGAAGCCAUACAUUUGUUAGAAAUGAGGUAAGGGAUUUAGUGUUAUUGGUUAUCUAUCUAAACAUCUGAAACAAGUCCAUAAAGGUGAGGAGCCUUGAUUUGGUAAGGCAUUUAAUAAAAAUGUUGCUCUGUAACAAAUCCACACAGGUGAGAAGCCAUACAUUUAUGAUCAGUGUGGUAAGGCAUUUAGUCAAAUUACUGCUGUAACAACUCAUGAAACGAAUCCAUAUAGGUGGAAAGCCUCAAAUUUGUAAGGCAUUUAAUGAAACUAGUGCUCUCUUUUAAUACCAAUUCAUUAUUACUCAUUUAUGGCCAGUAUGGAAAAAAACAAACCCAUGCCCAUUGCACCACCCAUUGGAUAUGCUCUCACUUUGGGGACUUUUUUGCUUGCGGAUAUAUCACAAAUCUUGUAAUAAUUAUUGGUGUUACUGUUGUGUGAUUUCUGUAGAGAGAAUGAAUCCCAUAUACUAUUCAUUCCAUUGAAGAUGAAAGGGUAAUACAAUUUCUGUAUAGAAUUUUGAAUUGAAAGUAUGGGAUGUUAUAGGGGCGGAUCCAGCCUCCGCCAAUAGGGGAGGGGGCCUCAAAAAAUUUCACCAAUAUUUUCGAUGUUCGGCCACUCAAAGUUUAUUUUUGGUUUUUUGUCUCACCUGCAUAGCAGAGUGAGACUAUAGGCGCCGCUUUUCCGACGGCGACGGCGGCGGCGGCGGCGGCGGCGGCGGCGGCGGCGGCGGCGGCGACGGCGGCGUCAACACCAAAUCUUAACCUGAGGUUAAGUUUUUGAAAUGACAGCAUAACUUAGAAAGUAUAUGGACCUAGUUCAUGAAACUUGGCCAUAAGGUUAAUCAAGUAUUACUGAACAUCCUGCCUGAGUUUCAUGUCACAUGACCAAGGUCAAAGGUCAUUUAGGGUCAAUGAACUUAGACCAUGUUGGGGGAAUCAACAUCAAAAUCUUAACCUAAGGUUAAGUUUUUGAAAUGUCAUCAUAACUUAGAAAAUAUAUGGACCUAGUUCAUGAAACUUAUACAUAAGGUUAAUCAAGUAUCACUGAACAUCCUGCAUGAGUUUCACAUCACAUGACCAAGGUCAAAGGUCAUUUAGGGUCAAUGAACUUUGGCCGAAUUGGGGGUAUCUGUUGAAUUACCAUCAUAACUUUGAAAGUUUAUGGAUCUGAUUCAUGAAACUUGGACAUAAUAGUAAUCAAGUAUUACUGAACAUCCUGUGCAAGUUUCAGGUCACAUGAUCAAGGUCAAAGGUCAUUUAGGGUCAAUGAACUUUGGCCAAAUUGGGGUAUUUGUUGAAUUACAGCCAUAAAUUUGAAAGUGUGUUGGUCUAGUUCAUAAAACUUGGACAUAAUAGUAAUCAAGUAUCACUGAACAUCCUGUGCGAGUUUCAGGUCACAUGAUCAAGGUCAAAGGUCAUGUAAGGUCAAAGAACUUUGGCCACGUUGGGGGUAUUUGUUGAAUUGCCAUCAUAUCUCUAUAAGUGUAUUGGUCUAGUUCAUAAAACAUGGAAAUAAGAGUAACCAAGUAUCACUGAACAUCUUGUGCGAGUUAUAGUAGUUUUCAAAAUCAGCACUGCUGCUAUAUUGAAUCGCGUGAUGCAGGUGAGACGGCCAGAGGCAUUCCACUUGUUUUAAGGGGUUGCCCCGGUGUUGUAAUGAGCCAAAAAUCUUGAGGGGCUUGAUAUGGCGUAUUAAGUAAAAUUAAUAAGAAGUUACGAGCGAGCAAAAAUUUUGACAUUUUUUAAAAUCCAAGUUUGUGAUAGAUUUUGACAUAAUAUUUGAAAAAUAAAUUGCAUUUCACCAUUAUCCCUUUCCUUUCUCUUUUUUUUUCUUGAUCGUGAUUUUUUUUUUGGGGGGAGGCAAAAUGCCAAUGUUCUAACAGUAAUUUCUUAGCUUUAUUCUUAUAAGCAAAAUAAUUGUGUAACAAUUUCCUUAGCCCUAAUUAAAUAGUGUGAGCGCGAAGUGCAAGCUAAACAAUUUUGAAAUUUCAUGUAUUUUAUCUUGAAAAUUGAACAUUCUGGGCAAUGUUUGUGAACAUGAACAAGAUGCGUUUGUAACUAUCAUGAAUGUUUUCUUUUGUGAAUAAUUAUUCAAUAGCUAUUUUCAAAGUCAGCGCUGCUGCUAUGUAUCGAAUCUCGUAAUGCAGGCGAGACUGCCAGAGGCAUUCCACUUUUUAUUUUAAGUUAUAAUAAUACAAUAAAGAACAUAAAAUUAUGCAAAAUCAGUCAUGAAAAUUGGUCCUUAAAUUUCAAAUCAAGGCAUUUAUACUGCACAAAAAUGCUUGAUGAUAUGUUUCUAAGCCACUAAAAAUGUAAAUAUAUGUUGAAUUUAGGCACAGAACAGGAAAUGAUGUCCACUUUUGUUAGUCUUCCAAUUUUCCAAUAGAAAGUCUUGUUGUAAGGAAUAAAUUACUAUGAAACAUUUUCAAACACAUGACAGAUCAGUGCUACAUAAUACAAAUGAUGCACAGAUGUGAAUGCAUCAGUGGGUUUUGUGAGUAAGAGGUACGUGUAAGUGUCUGUAUUUACGUGUAACUAUUUGUUGAGUUUUCAUUGUUAUUGCAUGCUCACUAUAGUCAUAACGAUGCACAAUCAAACCUGUGUAUCAUUUGUUGUAUAGAAUGGUGGAAUUUUUUUAUGGAAAGUCAAUUUUUCUUACAAUGUCCAUGUGUGGGAUUACAUAUAUAUGCCUAAAAAGACUAUUCAUUCAUUGUUUGAUUAAAAAGGUUGUAUCUAAGUAUGAAUAUAAUAAUGUUAAUGGUAUUUGAAUUAAAAAGUGCCAACAAACUCCUCCAGUAGGGGUGUAUUAAAUUAUAAGCAACAAGGUUUGGCUGAUAAUUGAAAGAACUUUAUUAUUCUAUCUCCAUGUACAGUAAAUAGGUUGUUAUAAACAUUCUGAAAAUCAAACAAAAUAUAUGAUUGAAUUGAUUCUUUGUGGAAUUGUGAUCAAAUAAAUAGUAAAGGAAAAUCA